rnacentral:rRNA from 1 species
GACGAACCGUGCGAACGUUAUUCGGAAUCACUGGGCUUAAAGCGCGUGUAGGCGGGCGGGAACGUCGGCCGCUGAAAUCCCCCGGCUCAACCGGGGAAGUGGUGCCGAAACGACCCGCCUGGAGGGACGUAGGGGGAGCUGGAACUUCCGGUGGAGCGGUGAAAUGCGUUGAGAUCGGAAGGAACGCCCGUGGCGAAAGCGAGCUCCUGGACGUCUGCUGACGCUGAGACGCGAAAGCCAGGGUAGCGAACGGG